ACGUAUGGAGCAAGCGUUAUCCGGAUUUACUGGGUGUAAAGGGAGCGUAGGCGGUCCUGCAAGUCUGAUGUGAAAACCCGGGGCUCAACCCAGGGACUGCAUUGGAAACUGUAGGACUAGAGUGUCGGAGGGGUAAGUGGAAUUCCUAGUGUAGCGGUGAAAUGCGUAGAUAUUAGGAGGAACACCAGUGGCGAAGGCGGCUUACUGGACGACCACUGACGCUGAGGCUCGAAAGCGUGGGGAGCAAACAG
rnacentral:rRNA from 1 species